rnacentral:rRNA from 1 species
GUUUUUGAUGCUUCUGGGGUGGGUGAGUGUGUGAACCGAUCAUGUAGUAGGCAAGCUGCGGAGGGACGCAGUGAGGUAGCUCAUCCCCGGUGAUGGUUGUCCGGGGCUAAGUGUGUGGACUGUCUGGUAGGUAAAUCCGCUGGGCGUGAAGGUUGAGGCAUGAUGGGGAGCCCACGGUUGUGGGUGAGUGAGUGAUCCUGUACUGUCGAGAAAAGCUUCGUGAGCGAGGUGGCGGGUCCGCCCGUACCCUAAACCGACACUGGUGGAUAGGUAGAGUAUACCGAGGCGAUCGAGUGAAUCGUGGUGAAGGAACUCGGCAAAAUGCCCCCGUAACUUUGGGAUAAGGGGGACCUGAGCUGUCGUGCACCUGUGCGGUGUGGUGGCGGUGAGGGGCGCAGAGUCCAGGGGGAAACGACUGUUUACCAAAAACACAGGUCCGUGCGAAGUCGUAAGACGAUGUAUACGGACUGACUCCUGCCCGGUGCUGGAAGGUUAAGGGGAACUGUGAGUGUAUGCGUAGCGGUGAACUUAAGCCCCAGUAAACGGCGGUGGUAACUAUAACCAUCCUAAGGUAGCGAAAUUCCUUGUCGGGUAAGUUCCGACCUGCACGAAUGGAGUAACGAUUUCCCUACUGUCUCCACCAUGAACUCGGUGAAAUUGCAUUACGAGUAAAGAUGCUCGUUACGCGCAGCAGGACGGAAAGACCCCGGGACCUUUACUAUAGUUUGGUAUUGGUGAUUGGGACGGUUUGUGUAGGAUAGGUGGGAGACGUUGAUGCGGCCGCGCUAGUGGUGGUGGAGUCGUUGGUGAAAUACCACUCUGAUUGUUCUGGUUAUCUCACUGUGGACCGUGAUCCGGUUCAAGGACAGUGCCUGAUGGGUAGUUUGACUGGGGCGGUCGCCUCCUAAAGGGUAACGGAGGCGCCCAAAGGUUCCCUCAGCCUGGUUGGUAAUCAGGUGGUGAGUGUAAGUGCACAAGGGGGCUUGACUGUGAGACUGACAGGUCGAGCAGGGACGAAAGUCGGGACUAGUGAUCUGGCGGUGGCUUGUGGAUGCGCCGUCACUCAACGGAUAAAAGGUACCCCGGGGAUAACAGGCUGAUCUUGCCCGAGCGCUCAUAGCGACGGCAUGGUUUGGCACCUCGAUGUCGGCUCGUCGCAUCCUGGGGCUGGAGUCGGUCCCAAGGGUUGGGCUGUUCGCCCAUUAAAGCGGCACGCGAGCUGGGUUCAGAACGUCGUGAGACAGUUCGGUCCCUAUCCGCUGCGCGCGGAGGAAUCUUGAGAAGGGCUGUCUUUAGUACGAGAGGACCGAGACGGACUGACCUCUGGUGUGCCAGUUGUUCUGCCAAGAGCAUGGCUGGUUGGCUACGUCGGGUUGUGAUAACCGCUGAAAGCAUCUAAGCGGGAAGCACGCUUCAAGAUAAGGGUUCCCACAGGAGUGUUCCUGUAAGGUCCCCGAGAGAUGAUCGGGUUGAUAGGCCAGACGUGGACGCAUCGUAAGGUGUGGAGCUGACUGGUACUAAUAGACCGAGGACUUUCAUAACA